AAACAUUAAUAAUUUUUCUCUAUGCUCCUUCUUUAUGUAUCUGUAUAUAUAUUUAUAAGUAGAAAUAUGGUUAACGAUGGAUAGUGUUGUAAAUCUAAGCGAUCAAGAGCUAGGGAAGUUUAUGAGCAAAACCUAUGCCUUCUUGUUGUUGUUUCUUUAGAACGAAGCAAGAGACAAAGUGAAUGUAUUGGAUUUGGUAAGGAAGAGGAAGAAGCAGCAGAAGCAGAGGUUCUUGAAAGAUGGCCUGAAAAAGAUAACUUAAAAGAGUGCCAAUGUCAUAAAAGGGGUCCUAUGGCACACAGGGUUAAGUCAGGCAAAAGAAAGAAAUUAAAACAAAAGGUAAAUAUUUAUAUAUAAAGUAAAUUUUCAAGUAUUUUCUUGUUAACUAGGAUGUUGAUAUAGAGAGGUUCUUGUAAAGUAUAUAUUGGCAUAAAUAUGGAGCUUGAAGCUCACGUCUAUUAAUAUGAAUUUGCAACAUUAAUGUUCAGAACGAUCCAAUUCAACCCAUGUUGUAAUGCAGUGUUUCAGACAAGGGUAUUGGUUAGUUGUUCAUUAUUACCUCUGCUGGUAACUUGGAUUGAUUUAUCAUGCAUGUUCGACUUUGAACGUGUGUAUUUUAAAGAAAUUGUUGAUUAACAAAAAAAAGUUGUUUACAACUAGCAAAAACAAUGAAAC
rnacentral:lncRNA from 1 species